rnacentral:snoRNA from 1 species
CUGCCAAUUAAGCCGACUGGCCCCCUCUCCCCGUCGGGGCCCGGUGUGCAGUGGCUGCGGACAGCAGCCUCCUUGGUAGUGUAUGUGGCCUGUUGCCUGUACAGGUUGCCCUAAGGGACCUUGCAGACGGCC